rnacentral:lncRNA from 1 species
UUCCCAAUUAAUUGGCAGUCGGCCAAGGUAAUCUACUAUCAAAUUCUCCAUCUUCUUUUUAUCCCUUAUUUCAAGAUCAAAUUAUUGCAGAAGAAGUAUCCAGCAUAUUAACCUCAGUUUUGCCUCUUUUUUCUUCAACAAGUAUUUUAAUGCUGCAUGAUCUGAGAAUACAAUCACCUUUCUUCUCAACAAGUAUGAGCAAAAUUUUUUCAAGGCA